rnacentral:rRNA from 1 species
GAUGAACGCUGGCGGCGUGCCUAAUACAUGCAAGUCGAGCGAACAUACGAGGAUCUUUCUCCUCUGACGUUAGCGGCGGACGGGUGAGUAACACGUGGAUAACCUACCUAUAAGACUGGGAUAACUUCGGGAAACCGGAGCUAAUACCGGAUAAUAUAUUGAACCGCAUGGUUCAAUAGUGAAAGACGGUUUUGCUGUCACUUAUAGAUUGAUCCGCGCCGCAUUAGCUAGUUGGUAAGGUAACGGCUUACCAAGGCGACGAUGCGUAGCCGACAUGAGAGGGUGAUCGGCCACACUGGAACAGAGACACGGUACAGACUCCGAGGGGAGGAAGCAGUAGGGAAUCUUACGCAAUGGGGGAAAGCCUGACGGAGCAACGCCGCGUGAGGGAUGAAGGUGUUAGGAUCGUAAAACUCUGUUAUUAGGGAAGAACAAAUGUGUAAGCAACUAUGAACGUCUUGACGGUACCUAAUCAGAAAGCCACGGCUAACUACGUG